AGAGUUUGAUCAUGGCUCAGAAUCAACGCUGGCGGCGCGCUUAACACAUGCAAGUCGCACGAGAAAGGGGAGCAAUCCCUGAGUACAGUGACGUACGGGUGAGUAACACGUGGAUCAUCUACCUUCUAGUGGGGAAUAACCCAGGGAAACCGGGGCUAAUACCGCAUAAGCUCGAGAGAGGAAAGCAGCAAUGCGCUGGAAGAGGAGUCCGCGGCCGAUUAGCUAGUUGGCAGGGUAAGAGCCUACCAAGGCAGAGAUCGGUAGCCGGCCUGAGAGGGCACACGGCCACACUGGCACUGAAACACGGGCCAGACUCCUACGGGAGGCAGCAGUGGGGAAUCUUGCACAAUGGGGGAAACCCUGAUGCAGCGACGCCGCGUGAGCGAUGAAGCCCUUCGGGGUGUAAAGCUCUUUCGGCAGGGAAGAUGAUGACGGUACCUGCAGAAGCAGCUGCGGCUAACUACGUGCCAGCAGCCGCGGUA
rnacentral:rRNA from 1 species